CUUUAAGAACGAACCUGAGAAGCAGAGACCUUCCUUUUCCAAUAGUUUGAAGCCCUCUGGUCUGUUGUGUUUGUUCCCCAGUCUGUGUCAGGUGCCCAAGCAGCUCUGUGAGAUGAUCUGAGCAAGCAAUUACAAUGGAGAUGAGCAGUGACCUUCUCACCCUGUUCAGUGCAUUCUGAUCUGCACGGCUGGCUUUGAACCAGUGCCCAUUCCCAUCUGUAUUACUGACCUGGGUGAGGGGGCACAGUGGUGCACCCCAAUGAGCUCACAGAGCACACCGGGACCGGCUGGGAAGCAGCUCUACAGAUGGGCCUGGUCUUCCUGGUGGUCACCACAGUGAAGAUGAGCCAGCAAUGUGAUAUUGCUGCAAAAGGAAAAAGUCAACGGCAUUCUGCACUGCAUUAGUAAGGGUACUGCAGUCUGUGUGAGGGGAUGAUCCUCCUGCCAGGGCACAAGGAAAUUAUUUGUGUUGAGUGGCCAGGUGGGCAGCCUGGAGAAGCCGUGAGGCCUUGAGGAGUUGCGCUCAGUGCCAGUGGCAAGAGGCUGAGUAAUCCGCUGUUCUGGUGUGGCUUUAGCAGGAGGUGGACCAGGUAUCUCCAGAGGUCCUUGUCAGCCUCAGCUGCUCUAAUUGCUGUGAGUUGUCAAUGAUCAACCAGGCAAAGGAAGGAGAAUGUGUGGCCUGAUGACCUCCAGACUGAGAUCGGUGACUCAGGGCACAAAGUGCUGGUGGGCAGCGCGUGUGCUGUGGUUCCAUAUGUGGAGAAAACCAGAUGCAACAGAAAGAACAACUGAGAAAAGGCAUGGGAAGGGAGAGGAAAUGUUGCUGUAUUACCUCUAAUUGAUCACUCUGCUGCAUCUCAUAGUAGUGCUCAUGCAGCUGGUAGAAAAGAGCCAAGAGAUCCUUCUGUACAAGGACCCAGCUGCUGUGUUUAAUUCAUAAAGCACCACUUAACUUAUGGUGUUGGGUGUGGUGAUUCUCAGAAGAGCCAGAAGGUUCCAUUGGAAAGGCUGGGGGCUGUAACAACCUGGAGAUACUUUUCUCAUUUUGUUCACAAUAUAAAUGAUACUCGAAUUAAUAUUCAUGCUGAAAUAAAGUCUGGGGGAGCUUGGUUAGUACCAUAGUAAGUAAAGAGUACAAGGAAG
rnacentral:lncRNA from 1 species